GACGAACGCUGGCGGCGUGCUUAACACAUGCAAGUCGAACGGAAAGGCCCUGCUUUUGUGGGGUGCUCGAGUGGCGAACGGGUGAGUAACACGUGAGUAACCUGCCCUUGACUUUGGGAUAACUUCAGGAAACUGGGGCUAAUACCUGAUAGGUGCUCCUGCUGCAUGGUGGGGGUUGGAAAGUUUCGGCGGUUGGGGAUGGACUGGGGGCUUAUCAGCUUGUUGGUGGGGUAGUGGCUUACCAAGGGUUUGACGGGUAGCCGGCCUGAGAGGGUGACCGGCCACCUUGGGCCUGAGAGACGGACCAGAGUCGUACGGGAGGCAGCAGUGGGGAACAUUGCACAGUGGGGCGAAGCCUGAGGCAGAGGUGUCGGGUGCGGGAUGACGGCCUUCGGGUUGUAAACCGCUUUAGGUUGUGACGAAGCGUGAGUGACGGUAAUGAGUAAAGAAGCACCGGCUAACUACGUG
rnacentral:rRNA from 1 species